UGAACUUUAAGACACGAUGUCCUGAAGUUUGAACUUUGAGGUGUAAACUCUAGGACGACGUGUCCUAAAGUUUGAGCGAAAUUGGUUAAUCUUUAAAUACAUUAUAAACCGUGAAUAUAUUUUUAAGAUGUUUAAAAGUGGCUAGCUAGUGUCACAUCCACGUGAUACUCCAAUCGUCCCAGAGUUAGUAGGAUGGUGUGGGUGUUUAAAACAUGGCUAUAAGUUUUGCCUUAGGGCUAUUUGCUGGCUCGCUACGGGGAUCAAAACGGACUGUGGGUGAGAAAAUGGCAAUACUGGUCUAAAUGAACUGGUGCUAUGAUCACAAUUGUGGAGAUACGAUCACAACAUUAGUUAUUUUUGCAUGGUAACAGAGGAAGUUGUGAUCACAACACAUGACUCACGAUCGCAGCAAGGCAAGGUUUGGGAGGGAGUAAGCCCAAGCUAAAAAAUCACGAUCCUGAACCCGGUUGCUGCAAUCGCCAAGGACCGCUAUCACAGCUUUCUUCCUGGGAUCUCAAAUCUUCAGUAUUGCUAUCACUGCACAAGGCCUGCAAUGGCAGCAAGGCUAUUCACAUGUGCAACUAUAACGAUUUAUCACUUUUCUGGACUCCCACACCCCUAACUUGGUCCAAGAGGAUGAAAUCACUCCCCACUUCUUCUGAAUUUCAAGGUAAGUCGUAUUGAACUUGAUUUAAGCUAUUCCUAUUAUAAUAACACGUGAUUUAACUCUCAAAUAUUAGAUUUUUGUUAGAUACCCUAUUCUGCCAAAUUUUACCCAAGUACUAGGGUUUGAACUAUUGAGGUAUUUUGAGAUAUUUGACACUACCCAACUAUUAGAUACACUCUUUAUAGAUUAUGGUUGGAGUAUGAUAAUGCUGUGGGGAUGAUGUGAACGGGAUGGAUGAAUCAAGAUUCACUAGGUUUAAUGAAAAUGGUUGGAUGACUAUGGCCAAUUCCCAAAACAUGAAUUAGCCUUCUGUUUGCAUUAGUAUUACAAUAAUUGUAUACAUCAAUAUUAACUCCUAAGGCUCAAAGCCUACAAAACCUAAGACCUCCUUGAGCAAUGGAGCUAGUUACAAGUUUGAACUGAUCUGUAAAUUCCUUUCUUCAUCAACAUUUAACAUUGAUGAAUGGGCGAAUUUGGAAACAAAAUGAAAAAAGAAAAGGAGAAAAAAACUAUCUUCUUAGCUUGCUUGAAGAACUUGAAAUUGCCUGCUGUAGAUAUCUUAGAGUCUUUUGAUGAUUAAGGAAUCCCAUAAACCAGAACUCAAAAUCAUCCUCUGUAACUACUUGUAUAUACUUCUGUGAUCGCUUUUUCAUAUUUUCACUCUCUUUUGCUUUCUUUGUUUUAUUUAUUGGGAUCAAUACCUGCAAUUGUUAACCGGCCUAUUAGAUUAUGCUUUACAUGGAUAGAAAAUUAGAGAUGAAAGAAAACCAGAGCAGAGGGGUACCUUGUAACGGAUUUUAAGCAACUUUCCAGUUGGAGAUAAGAGCUUUAUUGAUCGCUCACUGCAGAAAGCAAUCUUAUCAGUAGAGAUGAAGAGAAGGCCUGCCAUUGGACCAGCUGUCGUUGAUAAAUAGCAUUGAGAAACCUUCAAUAGCUUUUCAUCAUCUUUAACCUUAAACUUCUGCUUGAAUAUUCUUUCCAGCCCUCCUACUUGAAGAAUUUUGGCCCC
rnacentral:lncRNA from 1 species